UACGUAGGGUGCGAGCGUUAAUCGGAAUUACUGGGCGUAAAGCGUGCGUAGACGGUUAUUUAAGUCGAGUGUGAAAGCCCCCGGCUCAACUGGGGAGGGUCACUCGAUACUGAUCGACUUGAAGGCAGGAGAGGGAAGCGGAAUUCCCGGUGUAGUGGUGAAAUGCGUAGAUAUCGGGAGGAACACCAGUGGCGAAGGCGGCUUCCUGGCCUGUUCUUGACGCUGAGGCGCGAAAGCUAGGGGAGCAAACGGG
rnacentral:rRNA from 1 species